rnacentral:lncRNA from 1 species
GCGCACCCCAGAGUGCCCCAAGCCUUUGGAAUCUGCCUGCUGAGCGGAGCGCGCGAGCGUGGACAGGUCCCGAACUUGGCCGGCGGGCUUUCUUGGCAACUUGCUUUGCGCAGUUCUCCAUGGAACCCUGGACCCACUGUGCUCCCGGAGCCUUACCUUUUUUCUUUCUUUCUUUCUCUCUUUCUUUUUAAAUUUAUGAACUCGAAAUGAAGCGGAAAGCAGAUACACGCGUCAGCAUACUUUGGCGGUGCUUUAGACUUCCAAGGCUUAGCUGAAGGCUCUGCUGUAACUUAAAUUGGCCCUUCUCAUCCAUGGGUACCACUCCUGGGCUGGCUGCUGUUCUCAUGACUGGAAGGGUGCCUUCUGCAUCCGAGUGGACCUGCUCUGCACAGCUGCUCCUCCCUUUGCUGGAUUCAGGACUUCAGCUGGAUCUGGGAGCAAAGCUAACUCAAACUGUGAUUUCCGAAUGGCCAGCGGACAGAUUGCAGCACCAAGUUUAACCUCCAAACAAUUCUCACUGGGAUGUUAUGAUCGUUUGCAGGCUUUCCGCUCCAUGACGCACGGAGGCUUGGCGGCCACUCUUAAAGAGAACUGGGAGGCUUCAGGUUUUUAACCGAUGAGGGUCCCAAAUAAGGAAUAGGUUAUGCAGUGGUAACUUUGAACUUUGGGGAGAAAAAGAAUCUAAUAGAAAAUAUUGAGGAGUAAUAUCCUCAUUUGUUUUGCUGCCAGAACCCGGAUUUCUGGACUUUUCAGUUUUUACAUGGGAAUAGUCAGAAUGAAAAGCCAUUCCAAAGACUCUUUUUCCCAUUUUUGUUGAUUUCUUCAGGUGCCUAGGAGUUGCACUGUUUGAGCCUUUAGUCUAAUUCAUUACCCUAGGUUUCCUUUAAUAAACAGAGAUUAACUGGUCUUCAAAUUAGAAUGAUACACUUCUUUAUUUUAAAAAAGCCAGCAUCUGGAUUAAGUAAGGUUUAGAUUUUCUUUUCUUUCUUCAUUUGAUAAUAUCUAUGAUGAAUUUCUCACAGGCUGGUUUUGCGUGUUUUAAUAUAAUAUUUUCUGAACUCAUUGCUAAGUAUACCCCCUUCUUGCUGGUCUUGCAGCCUCAGGAAACCCAGGCUGUUGUUAACAGUCCUAGAAGCCCCAGUGCAUGUCCUGGCACUUGGCACGGAUCAGUCACAUCAUAAAUGCUUGUGGUAUUCAUUAAUUCACAAGUUCCAAAACAAUUUUCAAAUGUGUAGGAAUCAUUUUAAAUUCUGACUGUGGCUGCCAGAUGCAUAGACCUGCUCCAUGUUAUCCAUAAAAGCUUCUCUGUCUCUAGGAAAAAAAAAACAAAAA